AAACUCUCCCUGGUUUGUAUACAAAUGAUUUCAUCAAAUGAAUAUAAAGCAGUCAUGAAUUGAAAGUAAUGAUUAUUUGUCCUGUCACUCCAGUUUUAAGUCUUUUCUUUCCUUUCUUAUGUCUCCCACCUAUAUUCAAGUUUUAAAAGAACAAAGGCCGGUGGAGAUCUGAACAGAAAUAACACCUUAUUUCUGUAUUGUCACUGUUCACGAGACUAUCUGGCUUGGAACUGUUGGUCAUCAGUUGGCAAAGGACUCCCUCUCCUGGAUUAACUGUAAAAGGAGGCAGAAAUCUAGAUGCUUUCCAUCAUGGGCGAGUUUGUGCCAUGGGGGAAGGGUUUCAAGAGGUUUUGUCUGCAAUGAAAAGCUGCUGCCAUCUACUGGCCUAGGACUAAAAACUUCUUUUCAACCCAAAGCACAAACCCAAAUCCACAAAGGCUACAUUGUCAUGGGAAACAACGGCUUUUGCUUUUCAGCUGCUCAAGCAGCACAGAGUAUAACUCAAAUGUCAGGCUAACACUACCUUUCUACUCAC
rnacentral:lncRNA from 1 species